AUUUAAGUAGCUUAAUUUAAAGCUUAAUAUUGAAGAUAUUAAGAUGACCUUGUGUCCUUGAAUA
rnacentral:tRNA from 1 species